GAUGAACGCUGGCGGCGUGCCUAAUACAUGCGAGUCGAGCGAACAGACGAGGAGCUUGCUCCUCUGACGUUAGCGGCGGACGGGUGAGUAACACGUGGAUAACCUACCUAUAAGACUGGGAUAACUUCGGGAAACCGGCGCUAAUACCGGAUAAUAUAUUGAACCGCAUGGUUCAAUAGUGAAAGACGGUUUUGCUGUCACUUAUAGAUGGAUCCGCGCCGCAUUAGCUAGUUGGUAAGGUAACGGCUUACCAAGGCAACGAUGCGUAGCCGACCUGAGAGGGUGAUCGGCCACACGGGAACUGAGACACGGUCCAGACUCCUACGGGAGGCAGCAGUAGGGAAUCUUCCGCAAUGGGCGAAAGCCUGACGGAGCAACGCCGCGUGAGUGAUGAAGGUCUUCGGAUCGUAAAACUCUGUUAUUAGGGAAGAACAAAUGUGUAAGUAACUAUGCACGUCUUGACGGUACCUAAUCAGAAAGCCACGGCUAACUACGUG
rnacentral:rRNA from 1 species